GACGAACGCUGGCGGCGUGCUUAACACAUGCAAGUCGAACGGAAAGGCCCUGCUUUUGUGGGGUGCUCGAGUGGCGAACGGGUGAGUAAUACGUGAGUAACCUGCCCUUGACUUUGGGAUAACUUCCGGAAACUGGGGCUAAUACCGGAUAGGAGCUCCUGCUGCAUGGUGGGGGUUGGAAAGUUUCGGCGGUUGGGGAUGGACUCGCGGCUUAUCAGCUUGUUGGUGGGGUAGUGGCUUACCAAGGCUUUGACGGGUAGCCGGCCUGAGAGGGUGACCGGCCACAUUGGGACUGAGAUACGGCCCAGACUCCUACGGGAGGCAGCAGUGGGGAAUAUUGCACAAUGGGCGGAAGCCUGAUGCAGCAACGCCGCGUGCGGGAUGACGGCCUUCGGGUUGUAAACCGCUUUCGCCUGUGACGAAGCGUGAGUGACGGUAAUGGGUAAAGAAGCACCGGCUAACUACGUG
rnacentral:rRNA from 1 species